GACGGGUUCUUCGCCCUUCACACCAUCGCUCACCUCCAGUGCAGCUUCAGAAACCGCACUUUCCCCUGGCUCUGGUAAGUGCAGAGAAAGGAAGGGCAGUGGGCCCUGCCACAUCUGCAGAGCAGUGUUGGGAGCUGCUGUGAGAGCACAAUAGCCAGUAGCUGGGGGCCUCAAGCAGGUGGAGGUGACAGCAUCUGAUGUCUCUCCAAGCAGGGCGCCAACCCCGUGUGUGGCAGGGGCAGAGCUCGCAUAGCCCACAAGGAGCCAGCGGGUUUAGUGGACCCUGUCUAAGGACCAAACUUACAUGCAAAUAGAUUGAACUGUCCUGCUGGGGCAUUUUCUAUGGCGACUUUACCCAGCUCAGAUCUAGCUGUGACCAGUGGGAUUCUAAGCUCCCCGCCUCCACAACCAAACCCAGAGGAGAAACAUAACCAUCCAGAUCUGGAGGAAAAAGAGGAUUCAACUAAAGAAAAUUCAGCUUCUGAGAGCUGCACUCACUGGUUUUGCUAACUCAGAUCAAAUCACAAACGAAAGUUUGGAGCCAAGAAAGGAAUCCUGGCUCCAAGCCCAUCCACCAGGAGGAAAAAAGCCUUCCAUGAUGAGACAACAGAUACUACCCCAGAGGCCACUCCCCGCACUUCCCACGGGUCCUACCUUGCAUCUCUUGGAAAUAAGAAGCUAAUUGCAGUAAGAAGCUAUGGGGAACCCACAGCAUCACUGCUAUUUCCAAGGUCACCACAUGUGGUCAUGCAUAGGGAUGAUGCAACUCUGGAUGGCACCAUUCAGACAGACAAAAAUGCACAUGAAACUCUGAGAGUUGUAAAAUGUGCGGCUUAUAGACUGGAUGCUGGAAUGUUACUGGUGUGAGAAAAACCAUAAGGAAUCAUAUUGAUGGAACACUUCAUUAUCCAUGAGGCAUUUGAUUAAAGAUUUGUAUACAACAUCUAA